rnacentral:rRNA from 1 species
UACUGGUUGAUCCUGCCAGAGGUUNCUGCUAUCGGGGUCCGACUAAGCCAUGCGAGUUGAAUGUCCGAAAGGGCAUAGCGUACUGCUCAGUAACACGUGGNCAACCUGCCCUGAGGACUGGAAUAAUCCCGGGAAACUNGGNGUNAUUCCAGAUAUGUCAGAACACCUGGAAUNGGUUCUGGCAGAA